rnacentral:ncRNA from 1 species
ACCGUCCUCGUCCAGGGGUGGUAGUCGGUCCGUGAGCGUUAAGUGAGGCCGGCUAUGCCGACGCCCUGAGUCGAAGUCGAUCGCCUGUGCACUACUUUAUUCUGCACAGGCAAUUUUUGGAGCC